rnacentral:rRNA from 1 species
ACAUGCUUAAACGCCCGACUUUAUGGAAGGGUGGUAUCUAUUAGACUGAAGCCAAUAUUCCUUGUGUCUAUUGCGGUGAUUCAUAAUAACUGAUCGAAUCUCUUUUUGAGAUAAAUCAUUCAAGUUUCUGCCCUAUCAGCUUUCGAUGGUAGUGUAUUGGACUACCAUGGCAGUAACGGGUAACGAAGAAUUAGGGUUCGAUUUCGGAGAGGGAGCAUGAGAAACGGCUACCACAUCUAAGGAAGGCAGCAGGCGCGUAAAUUACCCAAUCCUGACUCAGGGAGGUAGUGACAAGAAAUAGCAAACCGGGAACCUCAUGGUUUCACGGUAUUGCAAUGAGAACAAUUUAAAACCCUUAGCGAGAAUCAAGUGGAGGACAAGUCUGGUGCCAGCACCCGCGGUAAUUCCAGCUCCACUAGCGUAUAUUAAAGUUGUUGCAGUUAAAAAGCUCGUAGUUGAACCUCUGUCUGGGGCUAGUUUUGGCUUUGGUCAGGCUAGUUCUAGGCAUCCGCCUACAAGACUUAGAGGGCAUUCAGUUGUUCACUAGGAGGAGUAGGCAUUUUACUUUGAAAAAAUUAGAGUGUUUAAGGCAGGCAAUCGCCCGCAUAUAUUAGCAUGGAAUAAUAGAAUAGGACACUUUUCCAUUUCGUUGGUUAUUGGAAUCGUGCAAUGAUUAAUAGGGACAGUUGUGGGCAUUUGUAUUUAAUUGUCAGAGGUGAAAUUCUUGGAUUUAUUAAAGACAAACUAACGCGAAAGCAUUUGCCAAGGAUGUUUUCAUUAAUCAAGAACGAAAGUUAGGGGAUCAAAGACGAUCAGAUACCGUCCUAGUCUUAACUAUAAACUAUUCCGACUCAAUGUUUGACUGGCUUAUAUAACCAGUUGAGCGUUGUAUGAGAAAUCAAAGUCUUUAGGUUCUGGGGGGAGUAUGGUUGCAAAGCUGAAACUUAAAGGAAUUGACGGAAGAGCACAACCAGGAGUGGAUUCUGCGGCUUAAUUUGACUCAACACGGGGAAACUUACCAGGUUAAAACAAUAGUGGGAUUGACAGUUUGAGAGCGCUUUCUUGAUUGGUUGGGUGGUGGUGCAUGGCCGUUCUUAGUUGGUGGAGUGAUUUGUCUGCUUAAUUGCGUUAACGAACGAGACCUUAACCUGCUUACUAGACUGGCGAUCAUCAAUCGUUAGCUCUUCUUAGAGGGACUUUGGUUGUUUUAACUCCAAGGAAGUUUGAGGCAAUAACAGGUCUGUGAUGCCCUUAGAUAUCCUGGGCCGCACGCGUCA